AUCAAAGUCUGCUGGUGAAGAUAAACUUACAAAAGGCAGACGGAGAGGGAGGUAGAUGAGAUGAAUGAAAAAACAUCUAUCCAAUCAGAGAGGGAGCAGCUGAAAAAAGUUACUCUGUGGAUUAUCUGCCAAGCUGUGAACCUGCUGUGACACUCUGACACUGACUUACUUUUAAAACUGGUCUUCAAGUUAUGUGACUGUCAUCACCACUGAAACCUCGUCUCAAAUCCUGACUACUGGAGACAACUUCACAUCAAUGCAGACAACUGUAACGGCGUAUUAACCGGAGUACUUGGCAGCACUCAGAGAGUCAUUUCCAUCUGCAAUCACUCAAACCUGCUUUUCUGUGGAACCCUGAAAAUUGAGCAGUAUGGAGGUCCUGAGUGGUCCCUUUGCUGAUCUGGCUCUGCUCCUUCGAGAGACCAUCCUGCACACAGACAGACACACAAACAGCUUUCUUCCUCUCUGGCUGUUCGGCCUGCUGCUCUUCCUGUCUGUCUGUCUGCUGCUUCUACAGCUGAUUGUCUUCCUCAGCUGGAAACUCAGUCAGGUUGAGGAUGAUAUGGGUAUUCCACAAGACAGAAGCGCCAUCUACAGGCAUCCACACAGAGGUACACACCUGAGGAGGAGGAGUGUUGGGUAGUCACCAUACACCUGAGUCUGACUGGGCUCUUUUUAGAUGAAUUAUUCUCUACUGAUUAACACCUGCAGGAACCUGGGUAGGGCAUCUCAGACUAAAUGGAAGUGCCUCAACAAGAAGAAUAUUAUAAGAACAUAGUUAUGGAUAUCAUUUUAGCCCAUAUAGAAGUAUCACAGAGGAUGUGUUAAAAUGUGUACUUCUAGUUUCUAAACACUCAGGGAAAUAUGGAUGUAUGAAAUUUAAAAGCAUAUUCGAGGAUAAUGUAUAUUUUUGUACCUUCUUGUAUAAAGUUAAGAAAAAUAUGACUGUACACUUUAUGUAAAACGUCUGUACCCUCUCUUAACAGUUAAGACAGAACAUUUUACUUAAGAUAAAUGAAUCAAUGGAAGAAUAAUGACAAUGUAAACAGAUUUCAGAGUAUAACAAUCCUUUAUUUAAACAGUGUUACACAGGGGAGGAGUGGCUGCGUGUGGGGAGACACAAGACAAUCAAGCUGCUAGAUAGAAAAUACCUACAGUGAUCAUUGGUUGGCUAAGAGAGGAACAAUGAGGCAGCUGUGGUCAGUUUCCCAAAAUGGGUUUGUCAACAAACUUUUGAGUAGCUAAAAUACAAAAUUGUGCUGGUAUUAACUGACCUUACUCUUUUUCACGUGUCUGAACUGUUUGACAAAGCCUGAGAUGUAACUGUGAAGAGUGAAGUCCGAUUGGUGUUUGCCUUUUGAAGCUUUAUCAGCCUCGAACAGAGAGAUGUUGGAGUGUGAGUUAAAUCUUAUCUUACAGCAGCAAUUUCUUGUUUUCUGUGUAAUUUUGCCCUCCAUAAUGUCUCCAUGUUGAGAUCACUGACACUUUCAGAAUCAGCUGGCAUUGGUUUAUCUCAAUAAAAGUUACUGAUUGCAAAAAUUCA